rnacentral:rRNA from 1 species
GAUGAACGCUGGCGGCGUGCCUAACACAUGCAAGUCGAGCGAUUCUCUUCGGAGAAGAGCGGCGGACGGGUGAGUAACGCGUGGGUAACCUGCCCUGUACACACGGAUAACAUACCGAAAGGUAUGCUAAUACGAGAUAAUAUGCUUUUAUCGCAUGGUAGAAGUAUCAAAGCUCCGGCGGUACAGGAUGGACCCGCGUCUGAUUAGCUAGUUGGUAAGGUAACGGCUUACCAAGGCGACGAUCAGUAGCCGACCUGAGAGGGUGAUCGGCCACAUUGGGAACUGAGACACGGUCCAAACUCCUACGGGAGGCAGCAGUGGGGAAUAUUGCACAAUGGGCGAAAGCCUGAUGCAGCAACGCCGCGUGAGCGAUGAAGGCCUUCGGUCGUAAAGCUCUGUCCUCAAGGAAGAUAAUAGACGGUACUUGAGGAGGAAGCCCGGCGUAACUACGUGCCAGCAGCCGCGGU